CCCGUUCCUCUGUUGUCUGUUCCUCUGGCAGCUUUGGCCGCGAGUGAGAGAGCGAGCGGCCGCGUCGUCGUCUUCCUCGCGAAUCCUCGUCGCGAUCGCCGCUCAAAUCCACACCAAUUCGCUGCGGCCGGUCUCCGAUCCCGCACCACCACCCCUCCCCUUCCGCCGCGGGCCUGCGGCCGUUAUCCCAAAGCCCUAGCGCGGGGCAGCGCGCCGCAGCCACCCGCGGAGGGCGCGGCUGCUCCUGGGGGGACGGCUCAAAACCCCGCGCCCGCGGCGUAGGGGUUGCUGAAGUGGCGGCCGCCGCUCCGGCCUCUGCCAAUGGCGCGGAUCCAGCCUGUUCUGGAUGAAAGAAUGGACCCAUUUCUUGGUAGAUUGACUAUACCAACCACCAUUAACCAAUCAUGGUGUACUGCUCAGAGCGGCCUGCCCUUGUUCAAUGGGCCUUUCCCUGAAGCUAGGAUUUCUUCUGCAGAGCUUAACAACAGUUUUACCGAGUUCAAGGAUGCAUCUGUGCCAUCUGAUGUUGCAAACAACUUUGAACCAUUUGCAACUGUAGUGUCAAGGUUGCAUCAACACCUUCUGGCUGCAAAUGUUGACGUUACUUAUACAGAGUACUUAGAUUUGAUGAAAGUAGAAGUUGAUCAGUGGCUUAAUAAGCUCACUGAGGACAUAAGGGUCUUCAAAAGCUAUAGCUUGACCCAUAAAUAUGAUGCAAAUGGUUCAUGCUCUGCAGCUUGCCAUGUCGGGAAGCUAACUGAGAUAGAUGAGGGGUUCAACAGCUUGAAGGUGCUGCUGGUUGUGGUGUUCCAACAAAUUAGAGAGAUGUUCGCAUUGGUCAAUGCUUCAAUUCGUGAUCUUCAGUGGGAACAUGAAUUACAGUUAGAUGUUACUGGCAUUAUUAUUAGAGACUGCAUUAGAGGUCUUCAGGACGAGCUAGAGAGGAAAUUGUAUGAGCAAAGUUCCAUAGUGAGGAGUCUAAGCAAAAACUGGCAGGAAACUGUGGCUCAGUGUGCUUCCAUCCGUGAAGACCUGAUUGCUAUUUCUGAUAUACUAUUACCUUCAGAAGAGGAACCCCACGUUCCCCUUUGUAGGCAUGAAAGUUUGGGUAACUGGAGCGACAGAUGGAAGUUCAGCUUUUUCAGAAAGAGAACACAUCAGGAUCAUUCUCUAUCUUCCUCAGAGCAAAACCAGAAUUCUGCGACACAGAAAUCUAUAAGUCCCAGUGAAGUUAUUUCAGAAAAAUCUGAUUUCCGACAUCUGAAGGGUAUGAAUAGACAACAAAUUCUUAACUACUUCAGAUCUGAGAUCAGUAAAUUAAAAAGGCUGCAUGAGUUGGAUUUGCAAGAGAAAACAGAAGAGCUGUUCAAAUUCAAACGAGAGAAAUGGUCAUUGGCUCUUAAGUAUGAUGUAGAAUUCGAGCCUCUAAGGAAGAAAUUCCCUGAGGUCAUUUCAAGAUUUGACCAAAUCAUGUCCAAUGGAGUGGCAGCACCUACAACCUGCAGUACUAGUGAUGCACUUGAUGAAAGAAGCAGAUUGAAUAAUAGAAUUGAUUCACUAUAUCGUGACAACCAGCAUCUUCGGUGUUUGCUUGCAGAGAAAACGAAGAAUGCUCAGGAAUUAUCAUGCCAGAUAUCUGAUGCCAGUAGGAAAAUGUCACUUCAAUAUUCUCUAGAAAAACAACAUUUGAGGCAAAUCAACAACAGCAAAGAAGAGUAUGAUGAUCUUUAUGUCGAAAGUACAAUCAGAGAUGAAAUUUACCAAACUGUUAUGAGAAAAUUGGCUGAUCAUCAUAGGAACAUCUUGGAGGAUACUGCCCAAAAGUUUCAUGUAAAACUGUCCUCAUAUGAAACUGCACUCUCAGAAAAGGACAAGGCGUUGUGUUUAUCUAAUGAAGAAAAUCGAAAGCUAAAGGAAAAGCUGUCGACACUAGAAAAGGAGCAUUUUAUCCAUUAUAAGCAGCAAGAUCCAGAGCUAAACAAGGAAGAGAGUGAGGAAAUGAUACUUCGUGAUAUUGAGAUGGAGCCUCAUGUGGCACCACGAAGACCAUAUGAGAUUUCUGAUCAGGACAUGCCUUAUGAGGAGCUCAUCAAGCUGAAUCAGACUUUAGAGGUUGCCUCAACCACCUUAAAAGAAGUUGAAACAAAAACGUUAGAUUACAGUGAUAUCCUAGGUAAAAGAGAGCAAGAAGAGCAGCUAGAUUGCAUUCUGGUAUCAAUCAUGGAUCUAUCAAAAGAGUUUGUGGAGAUUGAACAUAAAAUGUCAGAAGAUGUAAAAGGGAAUGAGAAAAAGACAGAAAUCCUGAAUGAUCGAUGCAACCAUAUGGUACAACAAGCCAUUGUACUGACGAAGAAAGGCCUAUGGUACAAGAACAUGAUUGACACAAGACGUUCUGAGCUUCAAAAAGCAGAAUCUGAGGUAGAUAUUUUGGGAAACAAGGUCAAUGCACUCUUAAGCCUUGUUCAAAAGAUAUACAUAACUCUUGAGCACUACUCUUCUGUUUUCCAGCAUCAUCCUGUGCUACUGGAUGCUUUCUUGAAGACAUGCAAGCUUGUUGCAGGUAUAAGAAGCAGGCAAAAAGAGGAAUUGCAAGAUACAACAUAACUUGGACAAGCUAGAAAAUUUAGGCCCAGAAUUAGUUGAGAGUGGCUUAAGAACCACUAGAGUAUUAAUUUCCUAGUGGAGGAACAGCAUAUUGUCACAAGACUAUGAAAUCGAUCCAUCGUCGAAUGGACCCUGCAAAUCUGCAGCCACAAUGAAGUUAAGGUGGCCCAUUGGACUGAAUUUUGAAACCUAAGGGAAGAUAAUCAGAGAGUAUUGUUGGGUUACCUUCACCACCAAGUUCAAGCCUUUGCACUACAGCUUUAACACUGGAAGCUAGUUCACCAACUGAAUUGUGUAGGAUCUUGUUUGCCACCUCAUCACCACUCUCAGCAGAUUCUACCACAACUGGAAGAAGGUCAGCAAUCCGAGCCCACGAUUGGUCUUCGUAUGUCCAUCUGUCAUUGGAAUAAUGAACAGGUAAGUAGAAGCUAUCAUUUAUGCUUAAUUAGUAACACAGACACUACUGUAACUGGGCAAGUUCUUAUUUACUUGACCAAAUCUAAGCCACUGAAUCACCUCACUUGUUUACGUAUAUACUCCUUUACAUAAAGUAGGACCAGUAAGUAGUCAAAAUAAAUUAACCUAUUAAUUCAUCUUUUGAAAAUAACCUAUAGGUAGAUGAUGUAAUUCAGGCAGUGUUUCGGUUUGUUAUCCAAACUAUUGCAUAUUGCUUUAGUUUAAGUUGACCCAUUUCAAUUUACUGAACAAACUAUGCUAGUGAAGUAUGCUCUUUCCACAUGAAGUGAAACUGAUAAAUCAUAAACUACUAAGCCGAAUUGGAUUACCCUAUCAAUUCGUCUGGUGAUGCCAGCCCAAGAAAAUCAAGGAUAUUGUUUGUAAGCACCGUUUCAGGACCCCUGCCAUCAUAAGCUCUGACCACUGCUGUCAUUGCCUGUGCAGAAAUCCCAUAUCCACUGCAUAUGAAAUGCCACAUAAACCGGUUAAACAAAUCCACCAGUAGCAGCCACACAGGAUAGAUAUGAAUCAGCUUCUUCAAACUCAGUUCUCUUUUAUUAUUGCUACUGUCAUAUAAACAUAAGAAAACGUAGUCCUCUUGACUAACCUGCCCCAGUCACCUAGAACCGGCCCUGCACCUGCUGCUCGGGCUUCCCUGCCGUCGCUGGUGAACCCAUAAGCUAUCGUCCCUGUCCCUGCGAUCAGCACACACCCGUGGAGCUUGCCCAUAGUUCCACUUGCUAAUGCUGCCACCGCGUCAUUCUCGACAAACAGCUUGACAUGGCUUGGAAAAAUCUCCCUGAAAAAAAAAAGAAGAGAAGUAUUUGGUCACAUUCAGUUUCAGAGUUUACUGCUGAGCAAGAUUGCGCUUUUCAGCUGACAACUGACUGAAUUAGCUUCGUUAGACUGGACAUAAAUGCUGGAGCUGGACAGACCUGAGCCAAUCCAGCAUUCUCUGCUGGUCGAUUGGAUGGUUGACCCCUGCUACGGCCAAGCAGACGGCGCACACGUUUGAUCGUCUUCGGCGCGCCUUGAGCAGCGCCUGCGACAUCACUCUCUCUAGGGUCUCCCUUGCUCUGUCCUCUGAACAAUCGAAACAAGAAAAAAGAAACAGCAACCUAUUUAACCAGCAAAGAAACUUCCACAGAAUUGCUCACUGGUUUAUCACCACAAUCAUUGAUCAUCGAUGCAGGAUAUGAUCCUUGGUGAGUGCAGAUGAUGUUACCUCCGACGGAGUUUUGGUUGGAGCAUCCCGCGACGGUGCGUGAGAGGACGGGCAGCGGGUCGUUGAAGGGCAUGGCGGCGGGGAUGCAGACGCAGACGGUGUUGCUGGCGCCGCCGUCGACGCCGAGGAUGACGCUGCCCAUGCGCGGGCUCUGGCACACCUCCGCCUCCCACAUGUCCCGCCCCGUGUGCCGCUGCAUCCUGAUCAGCUAACACUCCACUCCCACGGACACUCGAAGGAGAAGGACACCCUGCCCGAAGAAGAAGAGGUAGAGGUAUCUUCUCCGGCCACCAACUGCUAGUCUGCAGCUGAGGUGAGCUUCGCUCCAUAUAUAUGUACGUAUUAGGGAUGUCUAGUCGAGGCGAAAGGGACGGGGAGGAAGACGACGGAGGAAUUCGGAGGGCGGCUGUCCGCACGCGCGGCUAAUGGUGCGACGGCCGAGUUGUUUACUUGGUUUCGCCGGAGGCCUCUCCGCUUCCAACCUGUUUGCGUUUGUUUGCGUGUCUAGCCGCUUGGUGAAGAGAAAUGUCUGCUUCUUCACGGCUGCUGGCCCGUGUUACUGCCGGUCCGGGUUUUGGAUUCUGUGUUGGCAGCUGCGUCCCCUUGAUCACACGUGUGGAGAUAUCACAAGCAUUGAAGCAACUAGGUGUUGCAGGCAAGUCCAUGGUAGAAACUGACAUCAACGCUAGACAGGUGCGCACAGGUGACGGACGUUUCACAGCUGCUGCAGAGUUGCCUGGCCUAACAGCAUGAUCAUCAGGUGUGUUUCAACGCCCGUUUACUCUCUGGUCACGCCACGGCUCCGGUCGUCGGACACACGCUGCCAGCGGUGACGGACAAAACCCCCCUGGCCUACCACGAUCACAUUAUCUCCGAAUGAUAAUUUACUUGACACGCAGUAUAAUAAGGUUGGGUCCUUGUUGCCUCCCCUCAUUUGUUUGGUUGGAUCCCUCGAAGACCUCUUCUCCUGCCAUAUGUCUGAAUCCUGGCAAGGCAGAGCUACGCGACGUUCAGAAGCGGACACUGGACUGAUGACAUCGGGAGACUCCGGUUUGCAUCCCAACAAUCAAGGGAAACAUAAAAAAAAGUUUCUUGGCAAUCUGGAGUGGUGGUUGGUCUGAAAUCUUGCUGUUGUUUUGGAUAGGUGCUGGCGACCUGAUUGAUGUGCAUCCAAAUGGCUCCAUCGCUAACGCACGCUUCCUUAUUCCUCGGUGGCUCUUGAGCUUGUGCUAACAUUGGUUAUUCCAAACAACUAGCAAAGUACCGGAUUUUCGCGCGAGCUGUGCGUGGCGUUGGUUUGCAAGACAGAAGGGUUGGGCCCUAAGAUGUACGGCCCGUCAAGAGCCCACUAACUGCCCAGCGAGAGGGAAGCCUCGGCCCACGGAGCACAUUUCCGUUUUGUUUUGUUUUGUUUUCUAGUGUCCGUUUACACACUAGAAAAGUAAAUGAUGAGCCUCGAUCUGGUAAAACUCUGAAAGCCUUGAGUCGAAACUUUUGAGGGUGGGGUAAUAAAUGUUUUGAGAGAGA